ACACACACACACAGCCAGAGCACCCCUCUCCCUCCUUCUCUCUUUCUCUCUCUCGUUCACUUCCAGCCCUCCCAUCAGCAAUCGCUGGGAAUUUGAAUGAAGAGUGGUCCUCAGCUGCCUCCUCCUCCUUCUCCUCCUCCUGCUCGAUCUCUCGUUGGGAUGCAAACCCUGAACUUGGAGCAGCAUCGCUUGCAAAGGAGCAGAAGACGAAGAGCUUAGCAAUGAAUCCGUUGAAGCUCCGAUCCAUCAAAGCGCCAGAUCGACGAGUCACGGACCGUUCCUAAAUGUGAUUAAAUAUCCUUUUCUUCCAAAGCUCAGAGGGAACACGGAUUUACCUGACCCGGCUUCUUUGCAGUUUGGCUUUCAAAGCACAGCAUCUUGAGAUUUCAGCGACAGAUGGAUAUCUCCCUCCCUCCCUCCCUUUUUGCCUCCAUCUCCUUCUCCCCCCUCCCUAUGUUCUCCUCCUCUCCCUACAUUUUUUGUUUGUUUGUUUGUUUUCAACACGUUUGAUCUGAAGUUCUGAAGCAUCUCGGAGGGGACCCACGAGAAGAGGAGGAGGAGGCGGAAGCUGCACCCAAGGAGUGUCAGCGACACCAAGGCGGCACUGCCUUGUUCUCCCACCCAUUGCAUCAUGGUGUUGUUCAGGGGAGGCUGUGGAGGAGUCACACAAAGAAGAUUUGUUGCUGAACGUUUCAUUUUUGUUUGGCUUUGAGAAGAAGCACAAAUAUAGAGAGAUAGAUAGCUAUCUUUUCCCUCCAGGUACAAGUUUCACUCUGAUUGACAACCACAACUAGUCAGUGUUGUCACUGUGUGUGAAACAGGGCACAUAUGACAAUGGUGGCAUCCAACAGAACUGGGGUGCUCAUGCCCUUCAGUUGCUAAGC